AGAGUUUGAUCCUGGCUCAGGAUGAACGCUGGCGGCGUGCUUAACACAUGCAAGUCGAACGAACCUUUCGGGUUAGUGGCGGACGGGUGAGUAACGCGUGAGAAUCUGCCCUCAGGAGGGGGAUAACGGCUGGAAACGGCCGCUAAUACCCCAUAUGCCGAGAGGUGAAAUGAAUUUCGCCUGAGGAUGAGCUCGCGUCUGAUUAGCUAGUUGGUGGGGUAAAGGCCUACCAAGGCGACGAUCAGUAGCUGGUCUGAGAGGAUGAUCAGCCACACUGGGACUGAGACACGGCCCAGACUCCUACGGGAGGCAGCAGUGGGGAAUUUUCCGCAAUGGGCGAAAGCCUGACGGAGCAACGCCGCGUGAGGGAUGAAGGCCUCUGGGCUGUAAACCUCUUUUCUCAAGGAAGAAGAUCUGACGGUACUUGAGGAAUAAGCCACGGCUAAUUCCGUGCCAGCAGCCGCGGUAAUACGGGAGUGGCAAGCGUUAUCCGGAAUUAUUGGGCGUAAAGCGUCCGCAGGCGGCCUUGUAAGUCUGUCGUUAAAGCGUGGAGCUUAACUCCAUUUCAGCGAUGGAAACUACAAGGCUUGAGUGUGGUAGGGGCAGAGGGAAUUCCCGGUGUAGCGGUGAAAUGCGUAGAUAUCGGGAAGAACACCAGUGGCGAAGGCGCUCUGCUGGGCCAUAACUGACGCUCAUGGACGAAAGCCAGGGGAGCGAAAGGGAUUAGAUACCCCUGUAGUCCUGGCCGUAAACGAUGAACACUAGGUGUCGGGGGAAUCGACCCCCUCGGUGUCGUAGCCAACGCGUUAAGUGUUCCGCCUGGGGGGUACGCACGCAAGUGUGAAACUCAAAGGAAUUGACGG
rnacentral:rRNA from 1 species